GACGAACGCUGGCGGCGUGCUUAACACAUGCAAGUCGAACGGUGAAGCGCCUUCCUUUUUGGUGGGUGUGGAUGAGUGGCGAACGGGUGAGUAACACGUGAGUAACCUGCCCCCUUCUUCUGGAUAACCGCAUGAAAGUUUGGCUAAUACGGGAUAUUCUGCGUCUGUCGCAUGCUGGGUCUGGGUAAGAUGUUGGUUCGGUGGGGGCUGGGCUCGCGGCCUAUCAGCUAGUUGGUAGGGCGAUAGCCUACCAAGGCGGCGACGGGUAGCCGGCCUGAGAGGAUGAUCAGUCACAAUGGGACUGAGACACGGCCCAGACUCGGACGGGAGGCAGCAGUGGGGAAUAGUGGAGAAGGGGGGAAAGCGUGAUCGAGCAGUGCGGGGUGAGUGAGGAAGGCGUUAGGGGUGUAAAGCUGUUUGAGACGGGAGGAGAAUGACAGUACCGGGAGAAGAAGCGCCGGCUAACUCCGUG
rnacentral:rRNA from 1 species